GCAGAGUAGGGACAUACGUGUACAUCCAGUGCUGGAGAGACGGGGAGUUGCUCUUCGGACGAAAGGACCGCGAGUCCGCAGUGUGUGUCCCGCAUCCCGCUGC
rnacentral:ncRNA from 1 species